AUUGAACGCUGGCGGCAUGCUUUACACAUGCAAGUCGAACGGCAGCGCGGGCUUCGGCCUGGCGGCGAGUGGCGCACGGGUGAGUAAUGCAUCGGAACGUGCCCAGUAGUGGGGGAUAGCACGUCGAAAGCCGGAGUAAUACCACAUACGACCUGAGGGUGAAAGCGGGGGGCCGAAAGGCCUCGCGCGAUUGGAGGGGCCGAUGUCGGGUUAGCUAGUUGGUGGGGUAAAGGCUUACCAAGCAGAGGAUCCGUAGCUGGUCUGAGAGGACGACCAGCCACAUUGGGACUGAGACACGGCCAAGACUCCUACGGGAGGCAGCAGUGGGGAAUUUUGGACAAUGGGGGCGACCCUGAUCCAGUCAUGCCGCGUGCGAGAAGGAGGCCUUCGGGUUGUAAACCGCUUUUGUUCGGGAAGAAAUCCUCUGGGCUAAUACCACGGGGGGAUGACGGUAACGGAAGAAUAAGCACCGGCUAACUACGUG
rnacentral:rRNA from 1 species